rnacentral:rRNA from 1 species
UCGAGAAUCUUCCGCAAUGGGCGAAAGCCUGACGGAGCGACGCCGCGUGGAGGACGAAGGCCUUCGGGUUGUAAACUCCUGUCACGGAUUAAGAAUGUCGUGCGGUGAAUAGUCGUACGAUUGACGUAAGUCCGAGAGGAAGCACUGGCUAACUCUGUGCCAGCAGCCGCGGUAAUACAGAGAGUGCAAACGUUGUUCGGAAUUACUGGGCUUAAAGCGCACGUAGGCGGCGCCGCAAGUGUGGGGUGAAAGCCCACGGCUUACCCGUGGAAUUGCCUGGCAGACUGCGGUGCUAGAGUGUGGUAGGGGAGAGCGGAACUCCUGGUGGAGCGGUGAAAUGCGUAGAUAUCAGGAGGAACACCGGUGGCGAAGGCGGCUCUCUGGUCCACAACUGACGCUGAGGUGCGAAAGCUAGGGGAGCAAACGGGAUUAGAUACCCAUGUAGUCCCUGAGCGGGCUGGCAAGGCGCAU